GCUCUGGGGAGAUCUGAGAGCGGCCUUUCAGUAUGUGAGACACCAGCAGAGAUAUAGGAAAACACCCUAUUGAGAGCAUAGAUUCUUAUGAAAGAAAGGACCUCAGCUCUCAUCUCCACUUCCAGACGCAAACCUAUUACAGGGAAAACUGUGCUUUAUCUCUGUGAGCAGAACUUGCAAAACUUGCUGAAACAUUUCUCUCAGGGUGGCUUGCAUGUCUUUGGGUAUCACCGGCAUUAAGAAGCUUAUUUGCGUAUCUGACAAAAUGGAUGCAUCCCAUGCAAAAUUAAACUUUACAGACAAAAUCUGUAGUUUGUUACUCUCAGCUGCAGUGAAGGUGUGGGAUCCUUUCUGUGACACAACAAUAAUCACCAUCAUGCCCAAAAUGAGUCUUGCAGAAAUACUGUUCUCAUUAUAACUUCUGCCUUACAAGAAGCUGAGCUUUCAGGAAAAGUCCUUUAACAUUAUCUUUAAUAUUGUUCUCAGGAGAAGUACUUCAUGUCCUCUGUGUUGGAAGAGGCACUGCCUGUGACAGCAUAAAGAAACGGCUCUAUUUAAAUACAUAAAAGCAUAUGAAUUGGCGUAACUUUUUCUCUUUUUCCUGUGCUUGCUUCUGCUUUUCUGAAGAUACUAACUACUUCCAGGAAGAAUGCUGCUGUCUCUUCAGAGGCAUACUUCCAGUUCAUACAGCAGACUUAAGUACAGAGACAAAACAGAAACAAACACAGGUAACUCCAUUCUCCAGUGCAGUCCAUUGUUGGGUGAGGACCUUGAAAAGUUGUGCAUUUAGCCCUGUUAAAUGAUUACACAUAUUAACUGGAGAUAUAACGCUCUUCUGUGAAUCUUUUUUGAAUAGUGAGGUGAAAAUAUAUUGGAAAAAAAACAACAAUGGAACUAGAUACAGAGGCUAGAGAUGAAAAUGAGCCCCCAUGUCUCCCCUUCCUAACUUCAGUGAUUCAUCACAGAUAGGAUUUCAAAAAUCUGAAAGAAUUAUUUGGUGUUUAAUCUAGAAAGUCUUAAUUGUGCCUUUUUUGAAAAGACAUAUGUAACUAAACUGCAAAUUUGAAAUUCACUUCCCUUUUCAACAGUGAGGUAAGCAAGAUGCAUUCCUAUUUAUGCUACUUCAUGACAUAUUUUAAAUGUCUUCCCUUUUCUGAUGAAUUUUUUGUGUCAGAGAACACUAACUGAUGUGCUGCAUUUGCACAGCAGUCCUCAACAUAACCAUGCUACUACAACAUUUUUAUUUACACAGGAGAAAACAGAUUCAUUUAAAUGUGUAUUAGACACAUAAGGAAAUCAUCAGAACACACGUACAGCAGAAGCCUUUUUAGGCGAUGCUGACUUCAAAUGUUUAGGCAGAAACUGUGACAAAGCAGUAAUGCAA